UACGUAGGGUGCAAGCGUUGUCCGGAAUUAUUGGGCGUAAAGAGCUCGUAGGCGGUUUGUUGCGUCGGCUGUGAAAUCCCGAGGCUCAACCUCGGGUCUGCAGUGGGUACGGGCAGACUAGAGUGAUGUAGGGGAGACUGGAAUUCCUGGUGUAGCGGUGAAAUGCGCAGAUAUCAGGAGGAACACCGAUGGCGAAGGCAGGUCUCUGGGCAUUAACUGACGCUGAGGAGCGAAAGCAUGGGGAGCGAACAGG
rnacentral:rRNA from 1 species